rfam:Oryza rufipogon genomic scaffold, chr11
AAUAAACGCAACCAUGAGUUUCCGUGUCCAACUUUGAUCGUCCGUCUUAUUUGAAACUUUUUUAUGAUUGGUAUUUUUGUUGUUGCUAGAAUAUAAAACAUGAGUAAUAAUUUAUGCAUGACUUCUAUUUUUUAGUUUUUUUUAAAAAAAUUAAAUAAGACGGACGAUUAAAGUUGGACACGAAAACUCAUGGAUGCGCUUAUU